rnacentral:rRNA from 1 species
GGACUACCCGGGUAUCUAAUCCUGUUUGCUCCCCACGCUUUCGCACCUCAGCGUCAGUAUCGAGCCAGUGAGCCGCCUUCGCCACUGGUGUUCUUGCGAAUAUCUACGAAUUUCACCUCUACACUCGCAGUUCCACUCACCUCUCUCGAACUCAAGACUCCCAGUAUCGGGGGCAGUUCUGGAGUUAAGCUCCAGGAUUUCACCUCCGACUUAAGAACCCGCCUACGUGCGCUUUACGCCCAGUGAUUCCGAGCAACGCUAGCCCCCUUCGUAUUACCGCGGCUGCUGGCAC